CAGUCGCCACGGUAACACAGAGGGUGCAAGCGUUAGUCGGAAUUACUGGGCGUAAAGCGCGCGUAGGUGGUUUGUUAAGUUGGAUGUGAAAUCCCCGGGCUCAACCUGGGAACUGCAUCCAAAACUGGCAGGCUAGAGUAGGGCAGAGGGUGGUGGAAUUUCCUGUGUAGCGGUGAAAUGCGUAGAUAUGGGAAGGAACACCAGUGGCGAAGGCGACCACCUGGACUGAUACUGACACUGAGGUGCGAAAGCGUGGGGAGCAAACAGGAUUAGAUACCCCUGUAGUCCCUGUCUCUUAUAC
rnacentral:rRNA from 1 species